rnacentral:rRNA from 1 species
GAUGAACGCUGGCGGCGUGCCUAAUACAUGCAAGUCGAGCGAACGGACGAGAAGUUUGCUUUUCUGAUGUUAGCGGCGGACGGGUGAGUAACACGUGGAUAACCUACCUAUAAGACUGGGAUAACUUCGGGAAACCGGAGCUAAUACCGGAUAAUAUUUUGAACCGCAUGGUUCAAAAGUGAAAGACGGUUUUGCUGUCACUUAUAGAUGGAUCCGCGCUGCAUUAGCUAGUUGGUAAGGUAACGGCUUACCAAGGCAACGAUGCAUAGCCGACCUGAGAGGGUGAUCAGCCACACUGGAACUGAGACACGGUCCAGACUCCGACGGGAGGCAGCAGUAGGGAAUUUUCCACAAUGGGCGAAAGCCUGAUGCAGCAACGCCGCGUGAGUGAUGAAGGUCUUAGGAUCGUAAAGCUCUGUUAUUAGGGAAGAACAUAUGUAUAAGUAAAUGUGCAUAUCUUGACGGUACCUAAACAGAAAGCCACGGCUAACUACGUG